rnacentral:ncRNA from 1 species
AUACGAAAAUACUCAACUACCCGCGAGGGUAGGGCGGAAAACCCACGGGUCUCUCUGAGACAGCCGGGCUACCGAA